AGUGGGAUAGUUGGGUCAAAUGGUGGUUCCAUUCCAAGUUUUUUGAGGAAUCUCCAUACUGUUUUCCAUAGUGGUUGCACCAAUUUAUAUUCCUACCAGCAAU
rnacentral:pre_miRNA from 1 species